GGGUUGUGAGGUUAAGCGACUAAGCGUACACGGUGGAUGCCCUGGCAGUCAGAGGCGAUGAAGGGCGUGCUAAUCUGCGAUAAGCGCCGGUAAGGUGAUAUGAACCGUUAUAACCGGCGAUACCCGAAUGGGGAAACCCAGUGUGACUCGUCACACUAUCAUUAACUGAAUCCAUAGGUUAAUGAGGCGAACCGGGGGAACUGAAACAUCUAAGUACCCCGAGGAAAAGAAAUCAACCGAGAUUCCCCCAGUAGCGGCGAGCGAACGGGGAGGAGCCCAGAGCCUGAAUCAGCAUGUGUGUUAGUGGAAGCGUCUGGAAAGGCGUGCGAUACAGGGUGACAGCCCCGUACACAAAAGCGCAUGUGCUGUGAGCUCGAUGAGUAGGGCGGGACACGUGGUAUCCUGUCUGAAUAUGGGGGGACCAUCCUCCAAGGCUAAAUACUCCUGACUGACCGAUAGUGAACCAGUACCGUGAGGGAAAGGCGAAAAGAACCCCGGCGAGGGGAGUGAAAAAGAACCUGAAACCGUGUACGUACAAGCAGUGGGAGCCCCACCACUAAGCCAGUGGUGAACUCCACAUACGCAUCCUUUGCUGAGGAUACGGUUAACGGAGCACAAGCGACGUUCAACCUCAAAAGAAGCAGAGGGGGCUUAGUGGUGGGGUGACUGCGUACCUUUUGUAUAAUGGGUCAGCGACUUAUAUUCUGUAGCAAGGUUAACCGUAUAGGGGAGCCG
rnacentral:rRNA from 2 species